rnacentral:lncRNA from 1 species
AGACAUCACGAAACUCGGGUGACCAGUGGCACAACCCAAGUUCAUGAGACGACCCUCAGCCAAGACAAUGAUUCCGGUCUUGGUCUCUGGGAACACCCACCUGUCAGUCUGAGGCUUGAUGGUGAUACGCUUAACACCAGGGUAAGUCUCCAAUCCAAGCAUGUCAAUCUCAUUGUCAAAGUGACCAAUGUUGCACACAAUAGCGUUGUUCUUCAUCUUCCUCAUGUGGUCAACCAUGAUGAUGUCUUUGUUACCAGUGGUGGUGACAAAGAUAUCAGCUUCUGAGACAACAUCCUCAAGGGUAAGAACCUGAAGUCCUUCCAUCAAAGCUUGAAGGGCACAGAUGGGGUCAAUCUCAGUCACAAUGACUCUAGCACCAGCAGUCUUCAUGGCAGCAGCACAACCCUUUCCAACAUCACCAUAUCCACAGAUAACAGCAACCUUUCCAGCGAUCAUAACAUCAGUGGCCCUCAUGAGACCAUCAGGAAGUGAGUGACGGCAACCAUACAAGUUGUCGAACUGUAAAUCAACAACACAUGAAAUUCUCAGUGACAGCACAUAACAUUAAUCUGUUCUCCACUAAUAAUAAACAAACACAGUGAUGAAUAUAAAAUCAAUUAGAAACACUGAGUUUAAAGUUAACCCUGUAACCAAGUAAAGACAGUUUCCUACUACUUAGUGAUUACGUUGUUGUUUAAACCUAUAAGCAACAAAAACUACAGAUCUAGAGACCUAUCAGCCUCAUCAUCACUAGUAAAGAUCAAUACCUUGCUCUUGGUGACAGAGUCAUUGACGUUAAUGGCAGGGAACAAGAGAGUUCCAUUUUCCUGCAUCUGAUAAAGCCUCUUAACACCAGUAGUAGUUUCCUCAGAGACACCAACAAGUCUCUCCUUCAUCUUAUGGUACUUCUUAGGAUCAACCUGAAGACCUUCCUUGAUAAUAGACAACACGAUCUGAAACUCAGG